rnacentral:rRNA from 1 species
UCAUUUUCGCAUGGAAGAAGUCUAGACGGAGCACGCCGCGUGAGUGAUGAAGGCUUUCGGGUCGUAAAACUCUGCUUGUUAGGGAAGAACAAGUGCUAGUUGAAUAAGCUGGCACCUUGACGGUACCUAACCAGAAAGCCACGGCUAACUACGUGCCAGCAGCCGCGGUAAUACGUAGGUGGCAAGCGUUAUCCGGAAUUAUUGGGCGUAAAGCGCGCGCAGGUGGUUUCUUAAGUCUGAUGUGAAAGCCCACGGCUCAACCGUGGAGGGUCAUUGGAAACUGGGACACUUGAGUGCACAAAAGGAAAGUGGAAUUCCAUGUGUACCCGCCGAAAUGCGUAUAGAUACGGAGCACCCCCCCCCCU